GCAUAUCAAUAAGCGGAGGAAAAGAAACCAACAGGGAUUACCUCAGUAACGGCGAGUGAAGCGGUAACAGCUCAAAUUUGAAAUCUGGCGCAAGCCCGAAUUGUAAUUUGUAGAAGAUGCUUCGGGUGCGGUACCGGUCUAAGUUCCUUGGAACAGGACGUCAUAGAGGGUGAGAAUCCCGUAUGUGACUGGCUACCUAACCUAUGUGAAGCUCUUUCGACGAGUCGAGUUGUUUGGGAAUGCAGCUCAAAAUGGGUGGUAUAUUUCAUCUAAAGCUAAAUAUUGGCCAGAGACCGAUAGCGCACAAGUAGAGUGAUCGAAAGAUGAAAAGCACUUUGGAAAGAGAGUUAAACAGUACGUGAAAUUGUUGAAAGGGAAGCGCUUGCAACCAGACUUGCGCGUAGUCGAUCAUCCGAUGUUCUCACCGGUGCACUCGACUGCGCUCAGGCCAGCAUCGGUUUAGGUGGUUGGAUAAAGGCUGUGGGAAUGUGGCUCCCCCGGGAGUGUUAUAGCCCACGGUGCAAUGCAGCCUACCUGGACCGAGGACCGCGCUUCGGCUAGGAUGCUGGCGUAAUGGUUGUAAGCGACCCGUCUUGAAACACGGACCAAGGAGUCUAACAUCUAUGCGAGUGUUUGGGUGUCAAACCCAUACGCGUAAUUAACGUGAACGGAGGUGAGAACCCUUAAGGGUGCAUCAUCGACCGAUCCUGAUGUCUUCGGAUGGAUUUGAGUAAGAGCAUAGCUGUUGGGACCCGAAAGAUGGUGAACUAUGCCUGAAUAGGGUGAAGCCAGAGGAAACUCUGGUGGAGGCUCGCAGCGGUUCUGACGUGCAAAUCGAUCGUCAAAUUUGGGCAUAGGGGCGAAAGACUAAUCGA
rnacentral:rRNA from 1 species